rnacentral:lncRNA from 1 species
GACGAAGACAUGUUGUAAUUUAGUGGCACAUGGGAGGAUAGUCAUCUUUGCUCCAAGCUAGGCUAAUAGGUGUUGUUGAUAAUAACUAAAGGUAAAGCCUUGUCCUUAAGCUUCAACACAUAAUCUUCAACUAACCAUAUUUUUAUAAUCUAGUUAUGUAUUUUUUGAUUCACUUCUUUAAUAUUCAAACAAUUGAUUUUGUAAUGAGAUGAGUUGAAAGAAAAUACAAUGUUUUUUUAUAGGAUUAAUUCAACUGAAAAAUUAAUUAACAGUGAAUGAAUGAUCCCAAACUCAUCUUAGUUAGGAAUGGGAUUCCCUAAACUUUGCAAAAUAAUUAUGAAUGAAAAAAGAGUUAUCAUGGUAAUAAUACCUAAUACAUCUUCAAUUUGAUUAUUAAAAAAGCAAAAAAAUAACAUAAAUUAUUUAUGUGAGAGUUAAGUUGUAAACUAUGUAUAAUAGUUUGGAUUCAACAUUUUUGAUAACUUUUGGUAGAAGAGUCAUUUUAGUAGUAACUAAGAAAAUCUUUGGCAUGUGGUUUUCCUCCUACCAAAGAGAAACAGUUUUUCUCAUUUUGGAAUCAUCUUCUUAUACUAAACAUAGUUUUUUGUUGGAUAAGGCAUGAGAGGUUUACAAUUACAAGUUACAACCACGCAUAUAGGUUAGUUUAUCAUCUAAACUUAAUUUUGACAUAAUUAUCUAAUCCAUUAAACUUAAACAUAUGUUUUUUUUUUGGGUGAAAAGACAAAAUGUACUCCAAUUUUUUUGUGUACCAGACAAAAUGAACUCUAAAUAUCCAAACUUUCAAAACCAUGUCUACCUUCACCUUCUUGCUAUGUAAUCUCAAGUUCAAUAGUCUAAGUUCACACUAUAAAUACUCUCUUUAACCACAUGGUCUUAGCACCAUUGUAGAUUUGUAAUAUGUGUAAAGUUUUAAACCAAUUAGUUUAGGAUUUUAGUUAUGGUUUGAAUACGAUAUAGGCUAAUCAACACUCACAAAAUCAACGCAUUACUCUUUGAACUGGAGGGUACAUCUCGUGGAAGCACUGAUCUUUGGAAACAUCAAACAUCUACAAAGGCCCAAUUGAUACAGCCCAUUUAUACCCAAAUACUGUGAUUCUGCCUUCAGAAUGGGAAUACUGGUAUUGGGGGUGUAAUAUCUAAUGAUCAUGUAAUCAAUAAUGAACUAAUGAACACUUUGAAAUGAAGUCAAGAGACUAAAAAGUAAAUGGAAUGAAAUUAAUAUCCAUCUCUUAUUAUUGAUUCACUUUGUAAAAGACCAAAUAAAACUAUAUUCACACUGCACAACAUACAAAAAGAUUUAGAACCCUCCAAAAGAGUUUGUUUGUGACCUUUUUCUAAACAAGCUAGCCUUUCCAAAAACCCUAUCUUUGUUUUUGUAUCUAACAACAAUUUACAGAGACCUAUCCACACCAAAAAAACGAAUAAACAUAACUUAGAACCCUCUUCUUCAAUUAAGGAUCUUGAAGAAACCAAGUUGAUAGUAUUAGCUGCCUCAAACCAAGUUGUUUGAAUCAGUUGAACAGAGCAACUGAGACUCCAGAAUCGUCCUUGUCAUGGUUUACCCGCGAAAGGCGGUACCUUUUCUGCAGUGGAGCUCCUGGAGCUUCAAUCUCUUCAUCAUCAUUCUCUGCAUCAAACGGUUUGUCCCAACCGAAUCUUCCAUGGUGGAAACUCGAGGUUUUCCUAGGUGUACUAUACGCAAAAUGUAACUGCUUUGCGAUCAAUGUCUGUAAACAAUAUACAAAGAACUAUCAGAUUCAUAAUCAUCAACUAAUUGAGUAUCAACAAAAUCUAGUAAUGGUGAAAACUUUACUUACAGCUUCUUUCAUUGUCUUGGAAACAUGACACAAUUGUUUCAAGUCUUCAUGCUCAACUCCACAGAUAAUCCUCACCUGUAAUAACAAACCAUAUGGUCAAUCACCAAAUGUCUUUAAAAUGUUCAAACUUCAAAAACUCUAUGCACAAUAACACAAAAGCUCUCCAGAAAUGAAAUUUUUUAAAACUUUCUCAUUUCGAAUACGAAUUUGAAUCUCAGAAAAACAAAAUGGUUCAACUUUCAGCUCAAUCUGAUUAUUUUUUUGGUCAACCAGCUCAAUCUGAUUGAUUAACAUGAAAUCUCAACUAAAUGAACAAACCCAAAAAAUCAGAUAAGGAUGAAAAUGAUUUUUUUUCAUUUCCUUUACGAUUUCGAAUCUCAAAGAAGAAAAAAUAAAUGGAAAUUUCAGCUCAAUCUAAUCAACAAAAAUGGAAUCUUAACUAAUUAACAGAACCCAAAAAAGUUUAAAAACUUUCUCAUUUCAAAAUACGAUUUUGAAUCUCAGAAACACACAAAAAGGUUUCACCUUUCAGCUCAAAUCUGAUUUAAAACUUCAAAAAUUAACAAGAAAUCUCAACUAAUUAACAAAACCCAGAAACCAAAACAAGAUUUUAAGUUAAGAAACGAACCAAAAUAUCUUGUGGAAGAUCUUCAAGUUCUCGACUUUGACAAUCUCCAACCAAAGAAGAAACUUUAUCACAGAGCUUCUUCGACGAGCUUCUCCCAACAGGUGAAGCUAAAACCGAAUCCUCAAUCUCAUCACUAGACGAUAUCAGAAUCCUCUUCCUCCCAAAUCCUCUCUUGUACUGUACGAACUCUAACCCUAACCCUAAAUCACCCACAUCUCGACGAUUCUUCAAAUUCGAUUUCUGGGUUACGAUUCUUUUCUUCCCCAAUGCCAUUUUCGUCAAUCUGCAUCACCAAAUGCACAAUAAAAAUCAGAUCUUUACAACAACAAAAAAAACAGAGGAUUUGAAGAAAGAACAUAAAGGAAAAGUGAAUCUAAGAAGCUAAGAAAGAACAAACCUAUGAAUUAAUAAGAUUAUCUCCAAAAGAUUUGUUGUUGAUGUAAGUCUUUGAAGUAUGUUUUGUGGGAAAUAAGUGAACAAAAGCUGAGAAAAAUGAGUAAUUUUUCUUUCUGUUUUUGGUUUUACAAUUUGUGACAAAAGGAAGAUGAAGAAGGAGAACUACUUAUAGUAGAUAAAUUAAUAUUUUGAUUUUAUCUUUUUUGAAGUUACUAUAUUUAUAUUUUAAAUACAAAAAACGAGUAAAGUAGAACACACUGGAAAUUUCCUUACGGAAAAAGAAAAAAAAAUAUCUUAAAAUUUUUUAAAUUUUGUUAUUCUCCCUCCUUCCUUCCUGGUAAGCAAAAGACGGCUUAAAGGGCAAAAAAAAAACUAGCCGUUGGGAAAGGACACGUGGCGAACUAUGAGCCGGAGAAAGAACCAACGUGGGUGGUUCAUGUGAUGACGUGGCGACAAGUUGUUCGUUUGACGGUUUUGGUCGUCUCACACGGUUUUGUUUUUCUUAGGAUUCCCCAAAAAAAGCAUAUAAACAAAGAAGAAGAAAAAUAUCUACUGAGAAUUGAGAGUCUCUCUCUGACACAACAGUCUUUUAAAUCUUUAAUAAUCUUAACACUUAUCACCGACCAAAAGUUUUUGGUUUUUUAAUCUCAAAGAUUUUUUUUUUUGGUAGGAUAAUCUCAAAGAUUAUUGUGUUCUUCAUAAAAAGAUAUCAUUAUUAUUGCAUUAUCAAGAUCCAAAGAUAGUAAAGAUAUGCAUGCAUGAUGCAUCAUUGUUAUAUUUUUUUCUAUUAUAUCGUUGUGUUCCAGUUCCAUAAUCUUAUUGAAAAUUAAUAUAUGCAUAUGCCAUUUCUUUUGUAUUGAUAAUUAGUUCUAUGUGUAUCUCGCUUACCAUAUGAAUUUUUAUUUUCUUUUUGGACUAACUAAAAAGCAAAAUUAUGUUUUUUAAACUACGAACUAGUUCCCCAACAUCUCUUUUAUGUUUUUUAAAUUUACGAACUAUAUUACAAAUCCUUCAUUUCUUUUUUUUUUUUUUUUUUUUUUUUGAUAUAAAUGUAAAUAUCAUUAGGAAAUGAAAGUUUUAGGGGCUACAAGAGUAAGGCCUAGAGGUUUGAUGUCCAGCCAAAAAAAGAUAAAAAACAGGACAACAAUAAACGAGGAAAAGCAAAAGCCCAUCACGAAAGAGACUAAAUCAUCUAAUCCAGAGCUGCAUCAAGUUUCCAAAAUGCUUCCGGUGGCGACGAGCAGAGAUGACGUUACGAAUCUCCCUAUCAAUCAGCUUGAAGAUGGCUUGGUGGGGCAGCUUGAAGUUGUUGUGCAAAACAUUAUUCCUUUGCUUCCAGAUAUGAUAAACCGUGGCAUGAGCAGCUAUCCUUCGGAUCAAAGUCGGCGAAGGCGACGGAGAGGAUGAAGGAGUCGCAGCAGUCACAGCAGUUGCAGCAGUUGCAGCAGUGUGACUGGUUCUGAGCCAAGAGAGAAGCUCUUCCCAGGAGACAAAGAUGAGCCGAGAGGGAUCAAGUCUUGACCAAACAAGUCGCCAAAUAGCAGAUGAGAAGGCACAAUUGAUGAAAAGGUGAUCUCUGGAUUCUGCAGAGGACGAACAGAGGCAACAGUCCAAAGAGGUGGAAAUUCCCCAAGAAGCCAGCCGAUCCCUUGUUGGGAGCCUGUUGAGGUGCGUGAUCCACAUGUUGAAAGCGUGUUUCGGGAUCGCUCCUUUGAACCAAAUAGAACCCGCCCAAGAUUUCACAGAUUUCCUAGGCCUUAACGCUUCCCAAGUUUUAGAGACGGAGAAAUUCUGAGAAGCGUUCUCAACAACCCAAGAGUAACGAUCCUCAACAGAGGUGAGAGAUGGAGCCUGGAUUGUGGUGAGAUGAGCAUGAAGCAAAAGAGAGGGAUUCGAUCUUGGUGGCGGAAUAGACCAAAAUCCUCCAGAGGCUGCGUCUUUAACUUUGGAGCAAAGCGGAAUCCUUAGGUCCCUUGGCCAAAAUCCUUCAUUUCUUUCUAUUAGCUUUAUGAAAAUUCACCAAGUUUAUGCAUUUAUAUACAUGAAACCAGUUUUCACCAAAAAUUAUUUAGGGUUCAAGGGAAAAUGAUAGUGAUUGAAGAUCAUCAUCGUCUUCUUCUUCUGUAUACAAGGAAGAAGAUGGGAAGAUUUAUUUUCUUUUUUUUAGGAAAGAGGUUCGCAACUAGUUUUGUUUAAAAUGUUUGUUUUGUUUUGUUUAGAGAAAAGAUACGACUAGUUUUUGUGAACUAUCCAAAAUUAGCCAAUG